CCACCACCACCCCGGCCCUGCUGCUGCUGCUGCUGCCGCCCUGUAGUCCGACCUCCAUCGGCUGCCUCCAAACCUCCCUGUGCUGCUUCCACCUCCAGCCCACGGUCCAGCCACAGCCGGGUCAGAACCAGCCAGCUGAAUCACCAAAAUACACCAUUUAUCAGCCGGAAACUGAACACAUAAAGAGUCAUCUGCAGGCCUUAAUGUGAGGAACAUGAUGAAUAACUGAAGAGUUUAUUUGUAAAAACAGAUAACUCUGUUUUGCAAAACUUUUCUUUUUAUUGUUUACUUGAGAUAAUAUCAAUCAAACUGAAGUUAAGUGGAUUUGAAUCAGUAGAAAAUACAUAAAAGUAAAUUUUUUUUAUUAUUAUUUCAAGUAAACAAUGGAAAAAGAUGUUUUCUGAAAAUGUCUAAAAAUGGAAUGAUCUGUUUUUGCAAAUAAACUCUUCAACUUCACACAGCAGAGUUACAACAACAGAGUUUGACAGGAAGUCUCAGUUUGUGUCUCUUAAAAAGGACAGAUUCAACUUAAUUUAUGUUGUGGAAGUUCAGAGGUCCAGAGAGGAUGAGGAGGCCGACACAGAGGGACACCCUGGAGAUGAGAUGAUUGAGGCUGAGAGGAAAGUUCACAGGAGAAGUGACUCCAGCAGAGCAGCAGUAGAUGCCAGCAUCAUUCUGAGGGUUCUCUCUGAUCUCUGUAGAUACUGUAGGUGGCAGAAGAUCAGAUUAAGAUCACAGACCAACAUGGAACUGGUCUGCUGAGUCAGAGUAGAAGAUAUCUAACCUGGACCAGAGCAGAGUCCUGGUAGAUCUUCCUCCUCCAGCGUCUGAUUGUCUGAAGGUCAGAUUAGGGUGUGGUAAGAUCUGAACCUGAAGAUGGGCUCAGACCUGCAGAGGUUGAAGGAGAACCUGGACCAAAGGUGGUUCUGCUCUAACCUGUAGGAUCGUUUGGGAUCAUUUACAAACACGGAAACAAUGAACAGAAAAUUUAAUCAGAAACAGCAGGAGAAAGUUAGAAGGUUGACUUCAGAGUUAUCAGUGAUGUGGUUCCUCCUGACUCUUCUCUGGUGGAUCCUCUGGUGGAUCCUAUCAUAGACCCUCUGGUGGAUCCUCUGGUAGAUCCUGUCAUAGAUCCUCUGGUGGAUCCUCUGGUAGAUCCUGUCAUAGAUCCUCUGGUGGAUCCUCUGGUGGAUAUUCUGGUGGAUCCUCUGGUGGAUCCUCUGGUGGAUCUUCUGGUGGAUCCUCUGGUGGAUCCUCUGGUGGAUCCUCUCAUGGACCCUCUGGUAGAUCCUCUGGUAGAUCCUGUCAUAGAUCCUCUGGUGGAUCCUUUGGUGGAUCCUUUGGUAGAUCCUCUGGUGGAUCCUCUAGUAGAUCCUGUCAUAGAUCCUCUCAUAGACCCUCUACUACAUCUUCCAGUGGAUCUUCUCGUAGAUCCUCCGGUAGAUCCACUCAUAGACCCUCUGGCUGUGGUUGGCUGUCGGCUGUAGGCGUGUCCUGGUGGAUGAAGCUUGUUUCCUGACUGCCUCCUGCUUGGCCUUUGACCCUCCUGCUCCCACUCCCGCCUCGCUCCCCGGGCUUUUAUUGUGAAGUUCCUGUCUGUCUGCAGCAGUUGCUCACUUCCUGUCUGUUCUGUUUGUCCAUAAGUCUACAUCCUGUCUGAACUCCGAGCAGCUCCUGGAUCGUUUUAACUUUGAAGCUCUGAGGAACAGUGAGCUGCCGGUGGACUUCAGAGGGUUAACAUCAGAUAGAACACCAGGACUUUGUUUUGCUUUGUUUUGUUUAUUUUGAUGAGUUUUGAACAAUUUGGUUGUAAUUUUGGACACAUUUUGUGGAAUUUUGAACCAUUUUUGCAUCAUUUUAAACAAGUUUUGAUGUGUUUUUGGACCAACUUCAGUUGUUUAGAACAAAUCUGAGUCAUAAAUACAAUCUAAGGUGACUGGAAUCCAAAAUGACUCAAAAUUUGUCCAAAAAAAUAGAUAGAGAUGGUCCAAAAUGACUUGAAAUUUGUCUAAAAUUACUCAAAUUUACCCAGCAUUACAAUA